UACGGGGGGAGCAAGCGUUGUUCGGAUUUACUGGGCGUAAAGGGCGCGUAGGCGGUCAGCACAAGUCAGUUGUGAAAUCUCCGGGCUUAACUCGGAAAGGUCAACUGAUACUGUGCGACUAGAGUGCAGAAGGGGCAACUGGAAUUCUCGGUGUAGCGGUGAAAUGCGUAGAUAUCGAGAGGAACACCGGUGGCGAAGGCGGGACUCUGGGCCGAUACUGACGCUGAGGAGCGAAAGCGUGGGGAGCGAACAGG
rnacentral:rRNA from 1 species